rnacentral:ncRNA from 2 species
UAAGUGAAUUUUCUCUUGAGUGAUCCCAUUGUGGGAGAGAGGGAAGUCGGUGAAAAUCCGACACGGACGCGCCACUGUGAGAAGAAAUUCCUUGUUGCGAUAAAGAGUCACUGCUGAUCUUUCAGCGGGAAGGCGAGCAACGGGGGAGGAAUUCUUCAAGUCAGGAAACCUGCUCAGAGCGUUUUUUAUCC